ACGGGAGGCAGCAGUGGGGAAUAUUGGGCAAUGGGCGCAAGCCUGACCCAGCAACGCCGCGUGAAGGAUGAAGGUCUUCGGAUUGUAAACUUCUUUGAUCAGGGACGAAUUUUGACGGUACCUGAAGAACAAGUCACGGCUAACUACGUACCAGCAGCCGCGGUAAUACGUAGGUGACAAGCGUUAUCCGGAUUUACUGGGUGUAAAGGGCGUGUAGGCGGUUUGGCAAGUCAGAAGUGAAAUUCCCGGGCUUAACUUGGGCGCUGCUUCUGAAACUGCUUAACUUGAGUACUGGAGAGGAUAGUGGAAUUCCUAGUGUAGCGGUAAAAUGCGCAGAUAUUAGGAAGAACACCAGUGGCGAAGGCGACUUGCUGGACCGCAACUGACGCUGAGGCUCGAAAGCGUGGGGAGCAAACAGGAUUAGAUACCCUGGUA
rnacentral:rRNA from 1 species